rnacentral:misc_RNA from 1 species
UCCGGUUUAGUACCGGCAGUCGCGCUAGACAUGGUAACUAGCGCCGAGGGUUGCGCUCGUUGCGGGACUUAACCCAACACCUCACGGCACGAGCUGACGACAGCCAUGCAGCAUCUGUGCUGGUGCUCGACUUUACGAGUCGUCGCCCUUUCGGGUUUCUACUUGAGGCAUGUCAAGCCUAGGUGAGGUUCUUCGCGUUGCAUCGAAUUAAACCACACGCUCCGCUGCUUGUGCGGGCCCCCGUCAAUUCCUUUGAGU